AAAUUGAAGAGUUUGAUCAUGGCUCAGAUUGAACGCUGGCGGCAGGCCUAACACAUGCAAGUCGAACGGUAACAGGAAGCAGCUUGCUGCUUUGCUGACGAGUGGCGGACGGGUGAGUAAUGUCUGGGAAACUGCCUGAUGGAGGGGGAUAACUACUGGAAACGGUGGCUAAUACCGCAUAAAGUCGCAAGACCAAAGAGGGGGACCUUCGGGCCUCUUGCCAUCAGAUGUGCCCAGAUGGGAUUAGCUGGUUGGUGAGGUAACGGCUCACCAAGGCGACGAUCCCUAGCUGGUCUGAGAGGAUGACCAGCCACACUGGAACUGAGACACGGUCCAGACUCCUACGGGAGGCAGCAGUGGGGAAUAUUGCACAAUGGGCGCAAGCCUGAUGCAGCCAUGCCGCGUGUAUGAAGAAGGCCUUCGGGUUGUAAAGUACUUUCAGCGGGGAGGAAGGUGUUGUGGUUAAUAAC
rnacentral:rRNA from 1 species